UACGUAGGGCGCAAGCGUUGUCCGGAAUUAUUGGGCGUAAAGAGCUCGUAGGCGGCCUGUUGCGUCCGCUGUGAAAUCCCGGGGCUUAACCCCGGGCUUGCAGUGGAUACGGGCAGGCUGGAGGCAGGCAGGGGAGAACGGAAUUCCCGGUGUAGCGGUGAAAUGCGCAGAUAUCAGGAGGAACACCAAUGGCGAAGGCAGCACUCUGGGACGGUACUGACGCUGAGACGCGAAAGCGUGGGGAGCAAACAGG
rnacentral:rRNA from 1 species